rnacentral:lncRNA from 1 species
GAAAGCAUACUACCACUGCCUAUAUAAGGAUAACCCUAUACUAGCAUUCAAUUGAGAAACAUAUACACGAGGUAAAAUCAAAAUUUCAAACCAAUCCUACUAAAUAAUUACAAUUCUACAUUCUAAAAGACAACCAAGAUGACCAGUCAUAAGAAAAUACUAACAACGCUAAAAGGUAACAUAUUUCACCAGACACACUACACCUAUAGUUAAUCCUUGUCGAGAGAGGCAAAUCAGUUCUGGAAGUCAAAUUUUAAUUCAGUGAUGAAGGUAAUUUCAAGAAGCCAUA